UUUUUAGACCUGUGCAACGGUACUGAAAGACAACGGGUCAGGAUGGGAACAUAGCAGCCCACCUUUCUUUACUGGGUGCCGCAGGUAUCUGGAGAGAG
rnacentral:SRP_RNA from 1 species